rnacentral:rRNA from 1 species
UUUUUUAAUUGGGGACUGGAAUGAAAGGUUGAUACUGAAAGGAAGGUUUUUUAAGAUGAAUUUGAAUUUAAUUUAGAAGUAAAAAAGCUUUUAUUAUUCCCUGGGACGAGAAGACCCUAAAAGUUUUAAAUAAAUAGUAUUUUUGAUUGGGGCAAUUGUUGAAGAUAAGAAUUUUUAAUUAAAUAAUAUAAGGUAAAGAAAUUACUUUAGGGAUAACAGCGUUAUUUAAUUAAUGAGUUCUUAUUAAGAAUUAAGUUUGCGACCUCGAUGUUGAAUUAAAUUUAAUUUAUGGUGAAGGGGCUAUAAGUUUUAGUCUGUUCGACUAUUGAAAAUUUACGUGAUCUGA